rnacentral:rRNA from 1 species
CACAAGCGGUGAGCAUGUGGUUAAUUCGAAGCAACGCGAAGAACCUUACAGGUCUUGACAUCCCGAUGCUAUUUCUAGAGAUAGAAAGUUACUUCGGUACAUCGGUGACAGGUGGUGCAUGGUUGUCGUCAGCUCGUGUCGUGAGAUGUUGGGUUAAGUCCCGCAACGAGCGCAACCCCUAUUGUUAGUUGCCAUCAUUCAGUUGGGCACUCUAGCGAGACUGCCGGUAAUAAACCGGAGGAAGUGGGGAUGACGUCAAAUCAUCAUGCCCCUUAUGACCUGGGCUACACACGUGCUACAAUGGUUGGUACAACGAGUUGCGAGUCGGUGACGGCGAGCUAAUCUCUUAAAGCCAAUCUCAGUUCGGAUUGUAGGCUGCAACUCGCCUACAUGAAGUCGGAAUCGCUAGUAAUCGCGGAUCAGCACGCCGCGGUGAAUACGUUCCCGGGCCUU